GACGAACGCUGGCGGCGUGCUUAACACAUGCAAGUCGAACGGAAAGGCCCUUCGGGGUGCUCGAGUGGCGAACGGGUGAGUAAGACGUGGGUGAUCUGCCCUGCACUUUGGGAUAAGCCUGGGAAACCGGGUCUAAUACCGGAUAGGAAUACGCGAGGCAUGACGUGGUGGGGAAAGCUUUGGCGGUGUGGGAUGGGCCCGGGGCCUAUCAGCUUGGUGGUGGGGUGGUGGCUCACCAAGCCUACGAAGGGUAACCGGCCUGAGAGGGUGACCGGCCACACUGGGACUGAACCACGGCCCAGACUCCUACGGGAGGCAGCAGUAGGUAGUAUUGGGCAAUGGACGCAAGUCUGACCCAGCCAUGCCGCGUGCAGGAAGACGGCCCUCUGGGUUGUAAACUGCUUUUAUCAGGGAGGAAACCCUUCUACGUGUAGGAGGCUGACGGUACCUGAGGAAUAAGGAUCGGCUAACUCCGUGCCA
rnacentral:rRNA from 1 species